AUGAUCGAGGGAGGUUGUACACAUUAAAAACAAAAACAAACAAAACCUUUGGGUACCUGGAUAAAAUCCCUACAAAACAAAAUGGCAGCACAAUAAAGUGUAAAAAAAUAAAGGUUUUCUUUCAAGGUGAAUAAAGACAUUAUAAUUGUUUACUCACUCAGGCAAGAACAAAACAAAAAAAAAAAUCUCAGUCCAUUAAAGUGUGCAGUCUUACAUGUGGUCAAAAUAAA